UUUCUUCUUCAGAAACUUCUUAAAUUUCUUGACAAGUGAUUCGAUUUCAGUCUCUUCUUUUUCACUGCUGGAUCCAUCUGAGUAGCUAUCGGAUUCAGGUUUAGAUUGCUUGGUUUGUACUUUCAAGCAUAAUCCUUUCUUUUUCCUGCUUUCCAUUUCGGAUUCAUCCAGUCGUUGUAAUUCCAUUUCAUGUUCCCUUAAUUUUCCAAAUAAUGUUGCUGUCGUCAUCUUUGCUAGAUCCUUAGACUCAGCUAUUGCGGUAAUUUUGGGCUGCCAUUCUCUGGUUAAACAUCUCAUGAUCUUUCCAAU
rnacentral:lncRNA from 1 species